AACGGGGUGGGACCUAGGAGAUGAGACUGCUUAUUCUUAGCUAAACCCUGAACCGUUCCUUGUAAAAGUGGGAAUUUCAAACUAAUUGGGGGUCUUUGGCCGACGUUUCCCCCGAACAAUAAUGAAGAAACGUCGAUGGUUACAUAAGAGGCUCAUCUCCAAGUUCGAACCAUAUUGGGUUGGGUUGGUUUGUAGGUGGUUCUGUUGAAACUAAGAUUAGUGUCUGCGGUUAACCGUUUCCUCGCCUUCCCUCCCACCCCCAAAUUUU
rnacentral:telomerase_RNA from 1 species